rnacentral:lncRNA from 1 species
CGCAUGGAGGUCAGGGCCGCUCGCCGGGUGGGUGCCUCUGGUCUGAACGCCUCCCUGACCACGGUCUGAAUUAUCCCUGGUGGAGGGGGACCCUGGUGUGAGCCCCUCUGCUGACCACAACCAGAAUCAUCUCUGGGGGGACCCCAUUCUGAGCCCCCCCACCCCGACUUACCCCAGCCGGGCCCAUCCCUGAGGGGGAGACUGGUCUGAGUCCAUCAGCUGAUCCCAAGCUGAACCCUCUGUGGUUCGGUGGGGAGGGGGUGCCCGGUCCGAGCCUCUCGGCUGAACGCAGCCCGAACCGUUCCCGGGAAGGUCUCUGGUCCUAAUUUCCCACCAGCUCUGCCCCGGGCCCCCUCUCCUCACCGCCCCCGCCCCCGCCGCCAUCCACCGGGAGGGACCGUGGUCAGGACCACUCCAUUCCAAAGGGAUGGCUCAGGCUAAGGUCACUGGGGGACACUGGCUUCCUCCCUCCCCACUUCAUUCGUUCCUUUAAUCGAAUUUCUUGAGCGCUUACCGUGUACAGAGCACAGGGCUCGGGAGAGUUCAGCGAUAAAACGACGCAUUCCCGGCCCGCGGCGAGCUUACGGUCUAGAGUCUAGACCCAUAGUGUAGGUCACAAUGCCCCAACCCAGCUCGGCCUCCAUCACGGCAGCUUGUGGAGGGGGCAGGUGAGAGGUUCCAGCAGCCGGGACUGAGGGAUAUCCCUUUCCUCCUCGGGAACAUUCCGGAACCCGGCCGAUCCGGGUGGGAGGUGGGACUUGUCUGCCCGCCCGGGGCUGGGGACCCUGAGGCUGGGAGCCCAGGUGGUCUUGGCCGCCUCCGGGCCCGGUCUCCUGCUGCUGCUGCUGCUGCUCCUCCUCGGCUUCGUCACCUUCGAUCUGGUCGGCAGGACCCAGGUGCUGCUGCCCGCUCUGAAGCCCCCCGCCCGGGGGCCGGGGGCGGGGGCGGGCGAAGGCCCAGGCCGGGAGGACGGUUUCCUGCCCGCUCCAUUGGGGGUACUGUUGGACCUGGCCCUGCUGCUGACCGGGCUGCUGCUGCUGCUCAGAAUCGCCCUCGCCCUCGGCCCUCUCCUCCUCCUCCUGCCGGGCCUCUUCUUCUGGCUCGACCCGCCCGACUGAUCCUCCCCACAACACCCAGGUCAAUACACGGACGCCCACCCCAUCCCACCUCACUGUCUCCUCUUUUCAAUUCAAACAUAUUUAUUGAGCGCUUACCGGAUGCUGAGCGCUCUACUAGGCCCCCGGGACAGGGCAAUAGAACAAUAAACGGACACAUUCCCCACCCACAACGAGUUUACAGUCUAGAAGUCUUCCACUGCCAGGCACUUUUCCUCCCCGCCCCUCCCAUCGUGGAUGGAAGUACGGUUGUAGGCCCAGGGGCCUGAAAACCCCGACUGCCGGGCCCACCAGAGCUGUGGCCUGUGGUGUGUGUACGUACCUGGGUUAGACUAGGUUCCCCUUACUAAUAAUAAUCACAACUGUGGUAUUUGUUAGCGCUUACUAUGCGCCGGGCCCUGUACUAAGCCCCGGGGUGGAUACAAGCAAAUCGGGAUGGACACAGUCCCUGUCCCACAGGGGGCUCACCUCCCCAUUUUACAGCUGAGGUAACUGAGGCCCAGAGAAGUUAAGAGACCUGUGACGGAGCCGGGAUUAGAACCCACGACCGUCUGACUCCCAGGGCUGUGCUCUAACCACUGGGCCCUGCUGCUUCUCUGCUCAGGGGACCCGAGCGGGUCCUGGAGGCUCGGGAGUUUGGCUCUGUCCCAGGUGAAGGAAAGCGGGUCUGACUUCACCAAAUCCCCAAUUACCGUCCACUGUGGCUUCUUACGGGUUGCCCUCAGCGAGCUGCAGGUUUGGGGGAAAGGAUUACAGAGUGGAACGAGCCAUUCCCUAGGAGGCGGUGAAGGGAAACCCAUUCGUACCUAUAUUAAAAAUUAUAUUAAGUGUCUGUGGCCAGAGCAGCGGCCAUUUAUAACCGACAGUGACCCUCCACGCCGCCUUCAAAGCCUUAUUGAAGGCCCAUCUCCUCCAAGAGGCCUUCCCUAAGUCGUCCUCUCCUCGUCUCCCUCGCCCUUCCGCAUCACCCCGACUCGCUCCCUUUAUUCAUCCCCGCUUCCAGCCCCACAGCAGCCCUGUCCAUAGCCGCAAAUAAAAUUACCGUCUCCCCACUCGAGUCUAAGCUCGUUGUGAGCGGGAAGUGUGUCUGUUGAUGGUUUCGGGGCUCCCAAGCGCUCAGUACAGUGCUCUGCACACAGUGAGUGCUCAGUAAAUACGGCUGAAUGAAUGAAUGAACCUGCUUGGUUGGAACUCAACGGCCUCAGAACAGUAAUCUUGUCCCUCUCCCGCUUGAGGUCACAAUGGCUUGUCUCACGGGGGGAGACCAGAAGGGCUUGGGGGGCGGGGGGAGGGUGGUCUCUUUGGAACCUGGGGGGAGGUGAGUGCCUCCCCACCCCCCGCACCUUGCUCCAGAGCCCCCCUACCCAGCCUGGCUGCCCUCGUCUAAGUCCCACCUCCUUCUUGCCUCGCCCCCUGCCCCCCCGAUCGGACCCCCCCCCCCCUCCUUGGGAGAGAGGGAGGGGAGUAAGUCAAUCAGUCGGACGUAUUUACUGAGCGCCUACUGUGUGCAGAGCACUGGACUGAGCGCCGGGGAAGAGUACGGUAGACUAAUAUAACAGGCCCAUUCCCUGCCCACGACGAGCUUACAGUCUAGAGUCAAUCCGUUGUAUUUACUGAGCGCGCACUAAGCGCUUGGGGGAGCAUACUACAAAAAUAUAACAGACGCAUCCGCCGCUCACCGUCCAGAGGGAAGAAAGAGAAGGGACAGUCCGUGGAUGUCCCGGGAUACGAGGCCCCUCCUCUCGCCCAGAGAGGGGGAUCCGGGGCGCAGGCGAGGAGCGGGGAGGGGGCCGGGGUGGUGACGGCCCGGCUCCGUCCCGCAGAGAUGGCGGGCCGGGGUCCCGGAGGCGUCAGAGAGCCCCCUCCCCCGGUGGGGCUGUUGGAGCUGACGGCCGGGCUGCUGCUGCUUCACGUCAUGGUGAGGGGGUCCCUGUUGCUGCUGCCUCUGCUGCUGCCAAUCCUGGUAGUGGCGUUCUACACCCUGCUGCCGACGAUGCUGCUCGCCUUCUACGCCCUGAUGCCCUCCCUCGUCCUCGUCCUCUACGUUUUCUUCCUGUCCCUCCUCCUGCUGUCCAUGGAACUGGUCUUCUGAGACCCCCCGGCUCCCUCCAAUACAGGCCUUGGGGCCCCCCCACCCGGCCACCGCCUCUCUCCUCUUUCCCUGACAGCCACCCUCUGCUCGGAAGGCAGGGAAUCAUAAUGGUAGCACUUGUUGAUCGCUUACUACGUGCCAGGCCGCCAACUUUAACGCUGGGGUGGGUACAAGCAAAUGGGGUUGGAGGCGGUCCCGGUCCCACAUGGGGCUCACGGUCUCAGUCCCCAUGAUAGAGAAGAGGUAACUGAGGCCCAGAGAAGUGAAGUGACUUGCCAAGGUCACACAGCCGACAAGCGGCGGAGCCGGCAUUAGAACCCAUUACCUCUGUCUCCCGGCCCCGGGCUCUAUCCACCACACCAUGCUCCUUCAGGGAAUGUGUCUAUUGUUACAGCGUGCUUUCCCAAGCGCUUAGUACAGUGCUGCGCACAUAGUAGGCGCUCAAUAAAUACGAUCAAAUGAGUUAAUGAGUGAAUGAAUGAAGGGCGGGUCGGGCCUCAUUCCCCCAACCCACCCCAUCCCCUCUUCCCUCCAAGAGGCCUUCCUGGAGUGGACAGAGCCCAGGCCUGGGAGUCAGAAGGACCUAGAUCUGAUCCUGGCUCUGCCUCUUUGUCUGCUGUGAGAUCCUGGGCCAGUCACUUCAAUUCUCUGGGCCUCAGUUACCUCCUCUGUAAAAUGGAUAUUUGGAGGACGAGCCCCACGUGGGACAGGGACGGUGUCCAACCCGAUUUACUCGUAGCUACCUCAGUGCUUAGAACAGUGCCCGGCCCAGAGUAAGCGCUUAAAAAGUACCAUAUCGUCUUGUCGUCUCCGACCCGUAGCGACGCCGCGGACACGUCUCUCCCGGAACGCCCCACCUCCGUCUUCAGUCGUUCUGCUAGGGUGUCUGUAGAGUUUUCUUGGUAAAAAUACGGAAGCGGUUUACCGUUGCCUCCUUGGGCACGGUAAACUCGAGUCUCCGCCUUCGACUCUCUCCCGGGCCGCCCCUGCCCAGCCCGGGGGAGUUUUGACUUGUAGCAGAUGGCCUGCCACUCGCUAGCCACUGCCCACGCUAGGAAUGGAACGCACAGGCCUCUGCUCGACUCUCCCUCCCGUAGCCGAGACUGGUAGAGUACGGCAAACUCUCCAGCUGUGACCCUGAGAGGGGGAAAAAGUACCACACUUAGUAGUAGUGGUAUUAUCUCCUCUUCUCCCUUCUGCAACGCGCUUGCUUUUGGAUUUCCCCUCUUUAUCCACCUCUCCCUCAGUCCCACGGCGCUUACGUACGUAUCCGUACAGUCCUGAUCUAUUUUAACGCCCGUCUCCACCUCUAGACUGUAAGCUUGUUGUGGGCCGGGAAUGUGUCUGCCCAGUCUGUUCUACUGUCCCAAGUGCUUAGUAGAGGAGUCUGUGCACGCUAAAUGCUCAAUACAUAAUAAUGAUGGCCUUUGUUAAGCGCUUACUAUACGCAAAGCACUGUUCUAUGCGCUGGAGAGGAUACAAGGUGAUCGGGUUGUCCCACGCGGGGCUCACAGUCUUAAUCCCCAUUUGACAGAUGAGGUUACUGAGGCACAGAGAAGCCAAGGGACUUGCCCCAAGUCACGCAGCUGACUAGCAGCUGAGUCGGGAUACCACUGAUUGAUCAAUUGAUUCCCUUCCCGCCCCACUCCCAGGUUGCUGGCAAUAAUGAUAAUAAUGAUGAUGAGGGUGUUCGUUAAGCGCUUACUAUGUGCCAGGCAGUUUAGUAAGUGCUCGGGUGGAUAUAAGCAGAUCGGCUUGGACGCGGUCCCUGUCCCACACGGGGCUCAGUCUCCAUUUUUCAAUUGAGGGAACUGAGGCCCAGAGAAGUGACCAAGGUCACACGGCAGGCGAGGGGCAGAGUCGGAAUUAGAGCCCAAGACCUUCUGAUUCCCAGGCCCGUGCUCUAUCCACUAAAUAAAAUAAAAUGUUGGUAUUUGUUAAGCGCUUACUAUGUGCCGAGCACUGUUCUAAGCGCUGGGGUAGACAUAGAGGAAUCAGGUUGUCCCACGUGGGGCUCACAGUCUUAAUCCCCAUUUUACAGAUGAGGGAACUGAGGCACAGAGAAGUUAAGUGACUUGCCCACAGUCACACAGCCAACAAGUGGCCGAGCUGGGAUUCGAACUCAUGAGCCCUGACUCCAAAGCCCGUGCUCUUUCCACUGAGCCGCGCUGCUUCACUACGCCAGGCUGCCACGCUCCCUCCUCUUCCCCUGCCUUGCGCACCCUGAAUCUCCCCUAUCCCCCCUCCGCACCGGGCCCGGAGACUGGGGUGGGGGGCCGGGGGUGUCUGGGCUUCUUGGGUUGGCUCUCUUCCCCAGGGCCCUGCCGUGAGGGAGGAAGGAGGGUGGGGGCGAGAAAGUGAGGACUCCACUGGCUCCUCCCCUGCCCUCCAAACACCCCGAUACCCAGAGAAGCAUCAGAGAUGAAAUCGGAGAUGCAUCCCAUCCCAGCUCUGCCACCUGUCUGCUGUGAGGCCUUGGACAAGUCGCUUCACUUCUCUCGGCCUCAACUGCCUCAUUUCUGUGCCUCGGUUCUGUUCUCCCUCUUAGAUUGUGAGCCCCCCGUGGGACAGGGACGCAGCUUGUCUGUUGUGUGAUACCUUGGGGAAGUCAUUUCACUUCUCUGUGCCUCAGUUCCCCCAUCUGUAAAAUGGGGACUAAGUCUGGGAGCCCCACGUGGGACACGGACCGUGUCCAACCCGACUGACUCGUGUCUACCCCAGCGCUUAGAACAGGGCCUGGCGCACAGUAAGCGCUUAACACGUGCCAUUAAUGGAACGGAGAACUGAGGCACAGAGAAGGGAAGUGACUUGCCCCAGGUCACCCGGCAAGCAUUUGGCAGCGCCGGGAUUAGAACCCGGGUCCUUCUGUCUUUCAGACCCGUGUUCCAUCCGCUAAGACGCACCGCUUGCAAGUCACUUCGCUUCUCAGCGCCUCAGUUCUCCGGUUCUCCCUCCUACUGUGAGCGCCACGAGGGACGGAGACCGUGUCCAACCUGACUGGCUUGAGUCUACCCCAGCGAUUAGGACAGU